AAGGAGAAGAAGAUGGAAAUAAUCCCUCAUUACUCAACAAAUAUUCAUCGGCUGUCUCCAUGUUCUAGAAACAAUUAUAGAGGCUUGGAAUAUAGCAGUGAGCUAUUAACCAAGAGUUCAGAGACAAAGAAUCACCUCUUUGCCUAGAGUAUCCAAACUGUAUAUGCUACCCACCACCUAGUCACUUAAUCACCAUCUUCGUCAUCAGAUCAUCUCUUGUAGUAUCAUGGGGCUGGUAUUCAAAUAAUCCUUGCUUUAUUUAAUAAUGAUUCCAGAGCAGAAGAAUAGUGGUACUGGUAGUUUGGAUGUGCCAUGCAGAAGGAUUCAGGGGAGCUGAGGAGCAAGCAGCAAAAGAGGAUGAGAUGGAGUGACAACAGAAAAAGGAGAAAACUAGGAGAAUGAAAUUCCAGAAGCCCUACUGAGAAGACCAUUUCUUCUCUGAGCAAAAAUAUGAAGACAUUGCUGUGUAAUUUGUAUUUAAUUGUAGGGUUCACGUGCCA